rnacentral:sRNA from 17 species
GUAAAUAAAGAUCUACGAAAUCAUCAGUUUAUUAAGUGAUCAAUCCCCAAUUCAAUCAAAAUAUUGUUUUCUCUCUCUCUCCAUAAACAAAUAGUAUUUUUGAUAUGAUUGCUUUCUAUCCCCAAUGAUAAUUUCAGUUGUCUUUGUUUGGAUAUUACUUCACUGGUUAUUCAAUCAGUAAUCAUAAAACUCAGGAAACUGAGUUUUAU